CAUAGCUUUCCUUCUUCUUCUUUGUUGUCAUCGUUCCUAUUCAUUCUUCUAGGUUAUUGUAUAUUGGAGAAGGAGGAUGCUUUGAUGGAUCGUUUUUUCUUCUUCUCUGUGGCUACAUCAUCUCCUUCAGGAGAAAAACUAGAUUGUAGAAUUAGGGAAGAGACAUUCGCAAAGCAAAUCUAGGAAGCAAGUCAAAUCCAUCUCUCCACUUCCCUUGACUUGUCCAGGUCGUGAUGGGAUUGCUCUGUCUUCGUUACUCCUCAGACAAUCUUCUUCACCAGAUUCUAUUCACUGCCUCCUUGACUUCUCCAGGUGUUUUUUUUUUUUUUGGAAGCGUAUUAUUUAUGAUCCAGUUUAUGGCCUUUCGACUCUGAAAUCUCAACUUCUAAUUCUAGGGAUUGUGCUGGAGGGUGAUACUCUAUGAUCUAUUGGUGAUUGAGGAGCAAGGGAGGCUACUAAAAUCUAUCGGUGAUGCUUCUGUCAAUAAUGUCACAACAAUGGUUCUGCCGGGGGUUUUGGAAUUACUCCUCAACAUCUUUUCAUUAUGUCAAACGAUCACAACCUGCACCAAUAUGGAGUCGACUCUAGGAUUCUCAUAUUUGCUCAAGACUAUCAGAGAAAGGUAUCACUGGACAUAAUGAUCACUUUCUAAAAGCGCAAUUCAGAUUGUGGAGGAUAAUACUAUGAUCUAUUGGUGAUUGAGGAGGAGGCUACUAAGAUCUUUCUAUGAUGGUCUUCUUUUGGAGUUACUACUCAACAGCUUGUCAAAGGAUCACAACAAUGGUUCUCUCAGGAGUUAAAAAAACCAACAAGCAGCAAUAUGGACGGGCUGCUGUCAGUGACUACUAACAGCCUCUCAAAACUUGAAUGAUGAAAAGAGAAACAUACAUCUGGAGGUAUAGAUCUGCACCAUUGUAAUUUAUGGAUGUUGCCAAAGGAUCACAACAAUUGUUCCCCUGCAGCAAUAUGGAUGGGCCUCAAGGAUUGUCAAAUACGCUCUAGACUAGCUUGUCAUAAUGUCACAACAAUGGUUCCCUGCAGCAAUAUGGAGGGAUUGUGGAGGAUAAUGCUAUGAUCGAUUGGUGAUGAAGGUGCUGCAAAAACCAACAGCUUGUCAUAAUGUGAAAGGAUCACAACAAUUAUUCCCUGCGGCAAUAUGGAGGAGCCUCAAAGAUUGUCAAAUACGCUCUAGAUUAGCUUGUCAUAAUGUCUCAACAUUGGUUCCCUGUCAAUAUGGAGGGAUUGUGGAGGAUAACACUAUGAUUGAUUGGUGAUUGAGGAGGAUGCUGCUAAAAUCGGUGAUGGAGGUGAUGCAAAAAACAACAACUUGUCAUAAUGUUGUCAAAGGAUCACAACAAUUGUUCCCUGCAGCACUAUGGAUGUUUCAAGGAUUGUCAAAUACGCUCUAGACUAGUUUGUCAUAAUGUCACAACAAUGGUCCCCUUCAGCAAUAUGGAGGGACUGUGGAAGAGGAGGAGGAUACUACGAUCGACUGGUGAUUGAAGAGGAGGCUGCUAAAAACAGUCGGUGAUGGAGGUGGUGCAAAAACCAACAGCUUGUCAUAAUGUGAAAGGAUCACAACAAUUGUUCCCUGCAAUAAUAUGGAGGGGCCUCAAGGAUUGUCAAAUACGCUCUAGACUAGCUUGUCAUAAUGUCAGAACAAUGGUUUUCUGCAGCAAUAUGGUGGGAUUGUGGAGGAGGGUGAUACUAUGAUCGAUUGGUGAUUGAGGAGGAGGCUGCUAAAAUGAUGUGGUGAUGCGAAAAACAAUUGCUUCUCAUAAUGUGAAAGGAUCACAACAAUUGUUCCCCUGCAGCAAUAUGGACGGGGCAAGUUUGCAGUCAUCUGCUGUCAGUGACUACAAACAGCCUCUCAAAACUUGAAUGAUGAAAAAAGAAACAUACAUCUGGAGGUACAGAUUUGCACCACUGUAAUUUAUGGAUGUUGUUAAAAAAUCACAACAAUUGUCCCCUGCAGCAAUAUGGAUGGGCCUCAAGGAUUGGCAUAUUUGCUCAGGACUACCAGAGAAAGGCAUUGGUAGAGAUGAUGACUUGCUAAAGCGCAAGACCAUUUAUGAGAUGCUUGCCGUGAUCUCACUUUGAUGGUUGCUGCAGUAACGUCUUUAGCGUUUGGGAUCAUAAACAGAGGUUUCUGAUUGUUGUCACAGCUGCUGUCAGUGACCACAUACAGUCUCUUUAAACUUGAAUAAUGAAAAGAGAAAACAUACAUCUAGUCUCUAAAAAGGUCUCAGAAGUGAGGAGCUGAGAAAAAGGAUUGAAGAUGGCAACUUGUCCGAGGAUGUAGAUGAUGAGAGUCGUGCUACUCGAGCUUUGUAAACCAGACGCAGAAUCCUCGUCAGAUUGUUCUUAUUUUGCGGGUUUUCUCACGCCUUCGAGCUUUAAUAAUGAUGCGCUGUAUCUUCCAAAAGGGUUUGUGAUGAGAUGGUUCUGAAGAAUGAAUAUGGUAGAACAUGGAAUUUAGUUUUGAGACACCAUAAGUUAAAACAACACUGUAGUUAUCUCACGAGGCUGGAGAAGUUUCUGUUAAGUAAACGGGUUAAAAGCUAGAGAUUUUCAGGUUUAAACUGGUUAGAACCGGGGCAAAACCUGUUCUCUGUUUGUGCCCUGCAGAAACAAACCGUGACACAAGGGUAGUAGAGUGUUCAGAAGGUACCGAUGUAGAUUCCCUCUCCACAGAUCCUGGCAGCGGAGAAGAGAGUAGCAAAACCGAGGAAAGUGAAGUUAAGAAGAACAAUGAAGAUAAGGGCAGGUACAACAUCAUUGUUAAGGAAGAUAGUGAAGAGAGAGCUUCCAAGACAAAAUUAGCUUAAGGGAUUGUUCGAAUAUAGAGAAAUGGAAGUACUGCUCAAAUUCAGGAGCUUCAUCUUUAUCAACGCAAAACCGAUUUGUGACAACUAUAACACCAUACUCUUUUAGCAGGAAUAAAAUGGAACAGAAACGUUGUCUAGUAUGUUUUUAUAUGCCAACAUUUUGUCUGUAAUACGUAACAUCCGGCCAGUUUCUUA